rnacentral:misc_RNA from 1 species
UCGAGUUUUGAACGGGUUGUUUGCUGGCCUCAUACGGGGCAUGUGCACGCCUGACUUCAUCCACCUUCAACCUCUGUGCACUUAUUGUAGGCUAGCGUGAAAGGUCGCACUUCAUUUGCGGCUGGAAGCUGUCUACGUUUUACUACAAACGCUUCAGUUAUAGAAUUGUUUAUAUCUCGUAUAACGCAUUUAUAUA